rnacentral:rRNA from 1 species
UACGGGGGGGGCAAGCGUUGUUCGGAAUUACUGGGCGUAAAGGGCUCGUAGGCGGCCAACUAAGUCAGACGUGAAAUCCCCAGGCUCAACCUGGGAACUGCGUCUGAUACUGGAUGGCUUGAAUCCGGGAGAGGGAUGCAGAAUUCCAGGUGUAGCGGUGAAAUGCGUAGAUAUCUGGAGGAAUACCGGUGGCGAAGGCGGCAUCCUGGACCGGCAUUGACGCUGAGGAGCGAAAGCCAGGGGAGCAAAC